rnacentral:lncRNA from 1 species
CCAGACUUCAAAAAGGAAGUCUCCUCACCUGGGUCUUCCCAUGUCAACAGAGCCGAAGCAAGAGAAGUCCCGGCCGGCCGUAAGGAGAUGCGAAACCCCACAGCAGAUGUCAGUCCAGGGCUGGAGCUCAGCUCUCAUCUGCAAUGCACCAGAACCCUGACAUCAGGGGAAAUUAGCUGCCAUAUCUUCUGAUCACUAAGUUUUUCUGGCUGCUCUGCCUGGGGAGCAGAGUGUCUUUCCUCCUCCUCUGGGCCCCAGCUGCAAGGUCACGGUG